rnacentral:rRNA from 1 species
GACGAACGCUGGCGGCGCGCCUAACACAUGCAAGUCGAACGGGGAUACGCAAAGGACGGCCUUCGGGCAAUACUAGCGUAUUCUAGUGGCGGACGGGUGAGUAACACGUGAGCAACCUGCCCUAGAGUGGGGGAUAACGUCUGGAAACGGACGCUAAUACCGCAUAAUGUGGCGAGUGGGCAUCCACUUGCUACCAAAGGAGAAAUCCGCUUUGGGAUGGGCUCGCGCCCGAUUAGGUAGUUGGUGAGGUAAUGGCUCACCAAGCCUGCGAUCGGUAGCCGGACUGAGAGGUUGAUCGGCCACAUUGGGACUGAGACACAGCCCAGACUCCUACGGGAGGCAGCAGUGGGGGAUAUUGCACAAUGGGGGAAACCCUGAUGCAGCGACGCCGCGUGAGGGAAGAAGGUUUUCGGAUUGUAAACCUCUGUCUUUGGGGAAGAGUAGAAGACGGUACCCAAGGAGGAAGCCACGGCUAACUACGUGCCAGCCGCCGC